rnacentral:rRNA from 1 species
UACGUAGGGGGCAAGCGUUGUCCGGAUGCAUUGGGCGUUAAGAGCGUGUAGGCGGCCAGGUAGGUCGGUUGUGAAAACUGGAGGCUCAACCUUCAGAGGUCGACCGAAACCAUCUGGCUAGAGUCCGGGAGAGGAGAGUGGAAUUCCUGGUGUAGCGGUGAAAUGCGCAGAUAUCAGGAAGAACACGCGUGGCGAAAGCGGCUCUCUGGAACGGUACUGACGCUGAGACGCGAAAGCGUGGGGAGCGAACCGG